rnacentral:rRNA from 1 species
GGUUAAGUUAGAAAGGGCGCACGGUGGAUGCCUUGACACUAGGAGUCGAUGAAGGACGGGACUAACGCCGAUAUGCUUCGGGGAGCUGUAAGUAAGCUUUGAUCCGAAGAUUUCCGAAUGGGGAAACCCACCAUACGUAAUGGUAUGGUAUCCUUAUCUGAAUACAUAGGGUAAGGAAGACAGACCCAGGGAACUGAAACAUUUUUAA